UUCUCCCCGAAAUGCAUUUAGGUGCAGCGUCGUGUGUUUCUUGCCGGAGGUAGAGCACUGGAUAGGCGAUGGGCCCUACCGGGUUACUGACCUUAGCCAAACUCCGAAUGCCGGUAAGUGAGAGCGCGGCAGUGAGACUGUGGGGGAUAAGCUCCAUGGUCGAGAGGGAAACAGCCCAGAGCAUCGACUAAGGCCCCUAAGCGUACGCUAAGUGGGAAAGGAUGUGGAGUCGCACAGACAACCAGGAGGUUGGCUUAGAAGCAGCCACCCUUGAAAGAGUGCGUAAUAGCUCACUGGUCUAGUGAUUCCGCGCCGACAAUGUAGCGGGGCUCAAGCGUACCGCCGAAGUCGUGUCAUUGCGAUAUAUACCCCCAACGGGGAUCGUGAUGGGUAGGGGAGCGUCGUGUGCCGGGUGAAGCAGCGCCGGAAGGCAGUUGUGGACGGUUCACGAGUG
rnacentral:ncRNA from 1 species